rnacentral:rRNA from 1 species
UACGGAGGGUGCAAGCGUUAUCCGGAUUUACUGGGUUUAAAGGGAGCGCAGGCGGAUUAGUAAGUCAGUGGUGAAAGCCUUGAGCUUAACUCGAGAACUGCCAUUGAUACUAUUAGUCUUGAAUGUUGUUGAGGUUUGCGGAAUGGGUCAUGUAGCGGUGAAAUGCAUAGAUAUGACCCGGAACACCUAUUGCGAAGGCAGCAGGCUAAACAAAUAUUGACGCUGAGGCUCGAAAGCGUGGGAUCAAACAGG